GUCCACGCCGUAAACGAUGUCUACUAGCCGUUGGGGAACGUGAUUCCUUAGUGGCGCAGCUAACGCACUAAGUAGACCGCCUGGGGAGUACGGCCGCAAGGUUAAAACUCAAAUGAAUUGACGGGGGCCCGCACAAGCGGUGGAGCAUGUGGUUUAAUUCGAUGCAACGCGAAGAACCUUACCAGGCCUUGACAUCCUGAGAACUUUCUAGAGAUAGAUUGGUGCCUUCGGGAACUCAGUGAC
rnacentral:rRNA from 1 species